rnacentral:rRNA from 1 species
CGAACGGGUGAGUAAUACGUGAGUGACCUACCUUUGACUCUGGGAUAAGCCUGGGAAACUGGGCCUAAUACCGGAUACGACCAAUCUCUGCAUGGGGUGUUGGUGGAAAGCGUUAUGGAGUGGUUUUAGAUGGGCUCACGGCCUAUCAGCUUGUUGGUGAGGUAAUGGCUUACCAAGGCGACGACGGGUAGCCGGCCUGAGAGGGUGACCGGCCACACUGGGACUGAGACACGGCCCAG